rnacentral:rRNA from 1 species
ACCACGGGAAACUGUGGCUAAUAGCGCAUGGUCUUGCGGAUGCGGGAGCAUCGGCAAGUAAAGUUCAGGCGCUUCAAGAGGGGCCUGCGCCCGAUUAGCUAGUUGGUGAGGUAAUGGCUCACCAAGGCUCGGAUCGGUAGCUGGUCUGAGAGGACGAUCAGCCACACGGGAACUGAGACACGGUCCCGACUCCUACGGGGGGCAGCAGUGAGGAAUAUUGGGCAAUGGACGCAAGUCUGACCCAGCAACGCCGCGUGGAGGACGAUGGCUUUCGGGUUGUAAACUCCUUUUUUGGGGGACAAGGAAGGAUGGUACCCCAAGAAUAAGUCACGGCUAACUACGUGCCAGCAGCCGCGGUAAUACGUAGGUGACGAGCGUUAUCCGGAAUUAUUGGGCGUAAAGCGCACGCAAGCGGUCGGACAAGUCUGACGUGAAAUCUCUUGGCUUAACUGGGAGCGGUCGUUGGAAACUGUUCGGCUUGAGGCGAUGAGAGGGAUGCAGAAUUCCUGGUGUAGUGGUGGAAUGCGUAGAUAUCAGGAGGAAUACCUGUGGCGAAAGCGGCAUCCUGGCGUCGUUCUGACGCUCAUGUGCGAAAGCGUGGGGAGCGAACGGGAUUAGAUACCCCGGUAGUCCACGCUGUAAACGAUGAACACUAGGUGUAGGGGGUGUCAAAACCUUCUGUGCCAAAGCCAACGCGUUAAGUGUUCCGCCUGGGAAGUACGGCCGCAAGGCUAAAACUCAAAGGAAUUGACGGGGACCCGCACAAGCAGCGGAGCGUGUGGUUUAAUUCGAUGCGACACGAAGAACCUUACCUGGGUUUGACAUGCUGGUAGUAGUGAAGC